UAUUGUUAAUAUAAUGAACGUGGGCUUCUAUUCUUAUUGUAAUACUUAUUUUAGCUCUAAUAUUAACUGCAGAAUAUUGUCUUAAUUCUGUGUCAUAAGUAAAUCGGAGACUACAGAAUUAUCAAGCCAACAAAUCAUUUUAAGAAUGGAACAUAAUAAUAAUAAAGGUUACAGUUAUUUGGAUGGAUUCGUUGAUAAUAUGCAAUUCGAAUUUUGUAAUCGAGUAGCAGAAAUAAAUAAUGAAAUAGGACGAAUACAAGGACAAGUCGUUUAUAGAGAAAGAGAAUUAAAUCUAACUUCACCAAUUUGUACAAAUCAUAAUAUAACUUCUCAAAAUCAAGACAGUAACGCUGAGAUAAAGUCUAAUUUUAUUGACACAGAUACAAUCGAUAAGAAGAUAAUCCUCCUUGAAAAUAAUAGUAAUGGAAUUUAUCUAAAUCUAAGGCUUGAUAUUAGCCAAUACGAUCCUAAAGGAAUUUUAAUAAAUCCCAUUAAUAAUCAAAUAAAAAACACGAAGACAAAAUAAAACUUUAAUUCAUUCUCGCUUGGAAAUUGUUAAAAAUGGCGGUUUGAAACACUCAUUCUACUACGUCACAAGAUCGGUUGUGACGUCAAGUUCAGGCCUGAUAGAUAUUUAGGUGGCCAUGGUUCAGCCCUCCACAAUGGGAGCGACCGAGUGAUAGAGCACGGAGCCAUAUAUAUAAGCAGGGCCAACGAGAGCUUGUAUGGAGUCCAGGGAAGAGCGGUCCACUUUUGCCCAAUAGCAGCUCCACUAAAAGGGCCUCUUUUAGCAAGCCCAUUAUGGAUUCGGCCAGGACCACAAUGGGGCGCCCGGGUGGUCGAUUUAUAGGGGUAGGAAUCACCAUCUGCCACUAAGUUUCCUCCAUGUCCAAGGAAAAUUUUCAGCUUUUCGCCCACUUACCGCCAACAAAGAUUCCUGGGUUCUCUGGAGCCGUAAUCUGAUGUUUUAACCAUCUCGAUCAUUCAAUUGUCUUUUUUUUUAUGUUUAUAGUAGAAACGAAAAAUAAUUAUUUUCAUAAUUUGACAUUUUCGUUAAUUUAUUUCAGUGUUAUUAUAUUUAUAUAGGUUACAUCAUAUAUUAUUCGUAUUGAUUAGAUCUAAUGCAUAAUAAGAAUUUCAAUUGACGAAUUUUGAUUCUCUAGAGAACAGAACUAAUCAUUUCGUAUUAAUAUUAAUCGGACUAUUAUAAAGGCAGACUACAAUCAAUACAGACAACUGUAUUUUUCGAAAACUUCCAAAUUAUAUUGCUUUCUACGAUAACACAGAUUUAACCAUAUCCAGCAAAAGAAAAUAUUCUAAUGAAAACUAGUCUGAUGAGGGUAA
rnacentral:misc_RNA from 1 species